rnacentral:rRNA from 1 species
GAAGAAGCACCGGCUAACUCCGUGCCAGCAGCCGCGGUAAUACGGAGGGUGCAAGCGUUAAUCGGAAUUACUGGGCGUAAAGCGCACGCAGGCGGUCUGUCAAGUCGGAUGUGAAAUCCCCGGGCUCAACCUGGGAACUGCAUUCGAAACUGGCAGGCUUGAGUCUUGUAGAGGGGGGUAGAAUUCCAGGUGUAGCGGUGAAAUGCGUAGAGAUCUGGAGGAAUACCGGUGGCGAAGGCGGCC